rnacentral:rRNA from 1 species
CCCUUAGAUGUUCUGGGCCGCACACGCGCUACACUGAAGGAGGCAGCGUGUACUCCUGGAUCGAAAGAUUUGGGUAACCCGCGAAUCUCCUUCGUGCUAGGGAUUGAGGUUUGCAAUUAUCCUUCAUGAACGAGGAAUUCCCAGUAAGUGCAAGUCAUAAGCUUGCGCUGACUACGUCCCUGCCCUUUGUACACACCGCCCGUCGCUACUACCGAUUGAAUGGUCCGGUGAAGCGCUCGGACCGCGGCCUCUUGACGGUUUUCCGUCGAUUGGCUGUGGGAAGUUCGUUAAACCUUAUCAUUUAGAGGAAGGAGAAGUCGUAACA